rnacentral:lncRNA from 1 species
UUUACAGGAAUGGGCAAUGGUCGGUGGUAGAGACAUUUUUCCAGUCCUUGAGAGCUUAAGUGUCCGCUAUUGUCUUCAAUUGAUGAAUUACCGAUUAUGCCAUUUCUCAAAAAAUUAGAACUCAAUAGAGUUAUUGAAAUGGUGAUCAGAUUAGCUCAGAACUUUACCUCUAUUACUCGCCUGGCACUCCAUUGGGGCGAUCCUCAGUUGACUUCUCUUCCGGAUAGUGUGCUGCAAAACCAUACACUCCAUGAGGAUAUAAAAAUUGUGUCCCUGUACGGUCUCAAGUCGUUAUCAAAUCAACCAUAUAAUCUACCUGCUCUAAAAUAUUUGCACCUUGAGGAACGUAAAGAACUUGAAAGCAUGCGAGAAGGUCUCUGUAGUCUCAAUUCAUUGGAGAGACUACAUAUAAGUAGGUGUGGAAUCAACUCCUUUCCACCACCAGUCAAUGAAAUUUGUGGCUUAUCUUCUCUUUGUCAGUUAUCGUUUUAUGAUUGUCCAGAAUUUUC